GAGAGGAGCGAGAGCUCAUAAGGAAGAGAUACAGGCUAGCACACUGGUGAUUUACACAGUCCUUCAUGACACAGUAACUUCUCCCAGAGUAAGCCAGGCAGCCCUGAAAAUGCAAACCAACCACAGCUAUGAGUUGAGUCGAGAGAAGCUUGGCAGUACAUGGUCCUUCAUCUUCAACCAUCCGGGCGAUAAGCAUCCAGCUCCUGAUCACAGACCAUCUUGACACCAGUCAGGUGUGCUUCCCAUUCAAGCAAACCAAGAUCAUUUCCCAGUGUGUUGUGGUUUGGGUUCCCAAGUCACUCACGUGUUGGGAUCUGGGUCCCUUCUCGGCAGUGAGAGAUUGGUGGUGGAGCCUGUAGGGGAUGGAAACUUGAUGAAGUCCUCAGGCCACUGAGGGAUCUGUUUAGGAAGGGAUUAAUGCCAUUCUCAGAGAGCCCUGGGAUUUGUGAAUGUGAGCAAUUGCAUGAGUAACACCCGCCAUGGAGUCUCUGUCAUGGUCCUCUUUGGUGGUUUCGUCUUUCCAUCAUUACGGCUCAUCUGUCAUCCAGUUGUCACCGGAGCAGAGCUGAUGCUGGCCUCAUGCCCCCUGGAAUCUGUUGAACUGUGAGAAAUCACCCCAUUUCCUUUAUAAAGUUGUCUAGUCUCAAGCAUUUCUUCGUAGUAAUGAAAAACAGAUUGUUUCACAAGCCUAGGGAACGUAAGUUAUUGUGUGACCUUUGCUGUAAGGAUAAAGUUGUGGUUUGGUGCUGGAUUGGUUUGUUGGGGCGCUGUAGUUGCUGGAAAGCAGAAAAGUUGUGGAAGUGUUUUUUCUGGGGCACAAGAAAAAACUUUCUUUUAACUGGAACUGUGUGCUGUAACUACCAAGAGCAUGGUGAGUCUACCCCUUUCUGCUUCCUGUCCUCCUCCUUCUCCCUUUGUCCAUUCUUUCUCUCUGUCUCUCUCUCUCCACCCAUUUCCCUUUCCCCAUCUCUUCUUUUUAGCAUUCUCUCCUCUUUCCCCCCUAUUCCUCCACCACCCCUUCCUGAUCAUAUUCUUACUUAUCCAUUUAUUUAUGUGUUUCUUUAAUUUUUUUUUACUAUUUGAGAGUGUAUUGCUGCAUUUAAUGUGCUUCUGUUAAAUACCCCCCAUCUCCUUCACUCCCAGUUUCCUCCUUGUACCCCUACCACUUAUCCUCCCAACUUCAUGGACUUUUGAAAAACAAACAAGCAAGCAAAUAACCAUUGAGUUUACUUAGUGCUGCCCGCAUGUGUGUGAGUGCAAGACAUCUAUCUACCCAAGUGCCUUCAUCCUUGAAGAAAACCAAUUCUCCCACCCCCAAGAGCCAUCCAUUUUAACUCGCCCCUUAGCUAGGGGCGGGACCGCCAUGUGCCAUGCUGGGAGCCUGUCUGGAUUGAUAAUCGUGGGUUUGGGGCAUCAGUCCCUCCCAGCAGCUGUGAGUUCGUCAUGGUGCAGGUGUGUUUUCAGGUCCCAGCCAACGCCGCUUCACUGCAGACAUUGACUUCUUCUGGCUCCUAUAGUCUUUUGCCCCCCUUCUGUGAUGACCCCGGAGCUUAGGGGCAGCAGAUGUGAUACAGAUACUUCCUUUAGAGCACAGCACUCCACAGUCUCACUGUGCAGCCCAGCCUAGGCUCAAACACUUUAGCCUUCUGCCUCAAGCUUGGCAAGUCACUGGGCUAUGGGAUUACAUAAGACUGGGAGACAGCAGAGAAGGGGAUUCCAGAGGUGAGCACAUGAGGGGUGCAUCCCUGGGAAGACUGACUGCCCCUCGUCUACCUGGGCUUCAUUCAGUCGAGGGGACAUGAUGAGAAAAGCCCCAAAUAGACAAAGUCAGGGGAGGCAGGCACCACACUAAUGGCCAUAAAAGGUCACUAGGACCUCCUCAAUUUGUCCCUUCGGUUCCCUCUGUGCCGCCUUGGAGUCAAGUGAGAUGUGGCACACUCCUUAUUCCUCUGAGUCUUUCCUUUAGUGAACGAUCUAUCGCCUUUCUAAUUCCUAGCCAUGCGUCUCUCCACACAAGUCCUCAUAAAGAGUCGCUAAGAACCUCGUAGCUCAGGCCCAACCUUCCUGAUGAAGAUCUGAAAUAAUUAUCACAACAUGUGCCGUCUUGCCUGAUGUCCAGUUCUGCCCUGUUGAGCCAGGAAGCCCUGACCUGACCACACCAGCACGUGUGAAUUCACACACCACAAACGUGAUUGGAAUCUGACUCCAGAACAGGACUGCAAACAUCCCUAGUAGAAUCAACCACUAUAUUUCAACUAUCCUGACUUGAAACCAA